GUGCUCACUUCGGCAGCACCUACACCAAAAUUGGGAUGAUACACAGAAGGCCGGCAUGGCCGCUGCACAAUGAUGACAAAGAAAGGUGUGCAGCAUUCCAUUUUUUU
ensembl:snRNA U6 U6 spliceosomal RNA